UAACAAGUCUAGCUGUGCUGAUGAGCUCCAGCUUAGGCCUUGAGGCAUAUGCCUUUAAUCUCAGCACUCUGGAGGCAGGCAGACCUCUGAGUUCAAGGCUAGCCAGAGCUACACAGAGAACCCCUGUCUCAAAAAAAAUAAAAUAAAAUAAAAUAAAAUAAAAUAAGAAAUAAAGUGGAAAGUAAUGAAGGAAGACACCUGAUACCAACUUCCGGCUUCCACAUGUGUGUGUACACAUGUGUGCGUGCACCCACACAUGUGUGAAAACGCACACACGUGGAUAAAGUAAUGGCCAGAAGGGAGGGAAUAAACCUCCUUCUCCCAACCAGGCUCUGCCUCCUAAACAUUCUACCACCUCCCAAAAUGGCACCACCAGCGAAGGACCAACCCUCCAGACCAGAGUCUGUGAGGGACACUUCUUAUUAAGCUGUAGCACUUCUUAUUAAACUGUGACAGGUUCUGGGGUUUGAAUCUGUGCAGAUCUGGCUAUGACUGUCUCACACUGUUCUCAGCUAAUGGGACAUGGCCCAGCUGUUUCUCAGGAGAUAGAACUAGAGCUGGGCAGUUGACAAUGGUAACUGGGUGGAGCUACUGCCAUUCUCUGAUGGGGGCUGUGGUUUGUCAUCUUGACACAAUCUUGAAUCACCAGGGAAAGGAGUCUCAAUGAGGGACUGUCGAAAUUAGGUUAACCUGUGGACCCGGAUGUGGGAGAUAAUCUUGAUUACGUCCACUGUGGGUGGCAUCAUUCCCUAGGCCAGGGGUGUGUGUGUGUGUCUCGCACUGUCUAAGAGUGCAGAAAGCAAGGUGAGCACCAGCAUGUGUGCAUGGAUUCAUUGCCCUCUGCUCUUGACUGUGAUGUGAUGACUGAUGGCUUCAAGUACCUGCCUUGACUUCCCCCAGAGUCAUGGCCUGACUGUUGCCUGGAAUUGCAAGCCUACUAAGCCCUUUCUCCUUUAAGUUGUUUUUGGCAGGGCAGGGCAGGGUACUUCAUCACAGAAACAGAAAUGGGACUAAGAUGGAGGAUGUCCUCAGACUUUAUGUGUAAGAGACUUGCUCACCAUAGUCAUGUGAGUGGCAUUUGGAGGUGGGGGUCUUAAGGAUGUAAUCAGGGUUAGGUGGGUCCCCAGAAUGACAUUAGUGACUUGGUAAGAAAGGAAAAGAAAUCAGAGUUAGCACAUUUGCUGUCUCACCAGAUGGCACCCAUGUUCAAAAGCCAGGUACGGCCAUACUCAUGCCUUUAACCCCAGUGCUAUGGAGGAUAGAGGCAGGACUACUGGGCCUUAUGGCCACCAGCCUCACUCCAGGUUCACUGAGAGACUCUUGUCUCAAGGGAAUAAGGCAGAGUGAUAGACCAUGACACCUGACAUCCUCCUCUGGCCUCCACAUGUACAUACACACACACACACAUAUACACAAAAGCCAAUAAGAAACCAGAUGAGGGAUGCAUGCCUCUAAAACCACUUCUUUGUGGCUUGACAGAAGGAUAAUAUUUCAGGGCCAGCCUCGGCUAUAUAUACCAGGCUAUGUAUGAACACCUGUCAAAAAACAAUCCAGGAAAAGAAAACACUGUCUUAGGGUUUGUUUUGCUGUGAUGAAACACCAUGACCAAAGCAACUCAUGGAGGAAAGAGUUUGGUUGACUUACACUUCUGCAUCCCUGUCCAUCACUGAGGGAAGCCAGGGCAGGAACUCAAACGGAGCAGGAACCUAGAGGUAGGAGCAGAUGCAGAGGCUGUGGAGGGGUGUUGCUUACUGGCUUGUUCACAUGGCUUGCUCAGCCUGUUUUUUCGUAGAACCCGGCCAUCAGCCCAAGGAUGGCACUGCCCACAGUGGGAGGAGCCUUCCCCAUUGAUCACUAAUUAAGAAGAUGUUCUGCGGGCUUGCUUAUAGCCUGGUCUUAUGGGGCCUUUUUUCUCUUCUCUUCUUCUCUUCUCUUCUCUUCUCUUCUCUUCUCUUCUCUUCUCUUCUCUUCUCUUCUCUUCUCUUCUUUUCUCGUCUCUUCUCUUCUCUUCUUUUCUUUCUUUCUUUUUUUUUGGUUGUUGUUUUAUUUUUGUUUUUUUCAAGAAAGAGUUUCUCUGUGUAGCCCUGGUUGUCCUGGAACUCACUGUGUAGACCAGGCUGGCCUCGAACUCACAGAGGUCGAACUCUACCUCCCGACCACCUGGCAUGGAGGCAUUUUCUUAAUUGUGGCUGCCUCCUCUCAGAUGAUUUUAGACUGCUCUUCCAGAGGUCCCGAGUUCAAUUCCAGCAGCCACAUGAUGGCACACAACCAUCUGUAAUGGCAUCCAAUACCCUCUUCUGGUGUGUCUGAAUAGAGUGACAGUGUACUCAUACACAUAAAUAAAUAACUCUUUAAAAAUAAGCUGUUCAGCGCAUACAUCAAAUAGAAGUCAGGUAAGAAGGAGACAGACAGUUCUACAAGGAAUUUGAUGACAUGGGUAUCAUUGUCAACUGCAGAAUGAGAGACAUUUGGGUUGAGUUGUGAGCACAAAGACUAGGCUGAGAAGAUAGUUGGGUGGUAGUGACUAUGACUGGGUGGCCUCUUCCUAGAGCUUGGCUCUGACAAGGACUGAAGAGGAAGUUGGCAGUGCCAGGGUGGGAAUGGAACGAUUAAUCAGAACACCACAGAUUGGGCAUUCCUCGAAUAAUAGGAAAUUAUCACCCACGGUUCUGGAGGCCGCAGCCUGAGGUUAGAGUUGAGCAGCACUUAGGUCCUUUGAGGUGAGUCUAGGCCUGCUCUGGGGGCCUCAGAGUUUCCGGCUUCUGGGUAACCUAUUCCUUGGCUUCCUCAUGGUCUUCCCUCAGCAUGCCUCUGUGUGCCUCCCCCUCUUUACUAGGCACAGUUGUCACUCUGGAUCAGGGCUCUACUCAACACCCCAUGUUAGCAUCGACUCCAUCGGCUAAGACCUCUUCUCCAAACACCAUCGUAGCCAUGGGAACUGAGGCUGGGCCUCCUGUCUUCUGGUGACACAGGCUGACACUAUCAGCAGGUGUGCUGUCCCCUCUUGCAAGUUGGGGAAACUUUGGUUGUUUCUUAAUGCUGUCCUGAAGGAGCCCACAGAAGGCUGGGGGGGGGGGUGUUGUUGAAGACUGCCGGUCACCUUAGGGGACAGCUCAAGGCAGAGGCCCAGGCCUCUGCACUUACAGGAAGGAAGAAAAAGGGAACCCAGUAUUGAGGGGUGGUCUGUGCAGACAAACCAGAGCUGGGACCAAGGGACUGAACAUCCCCUGUAGUGACUUUUGCUCUAUUUUGAGACAAGGUGGGAGAAGGUUUGUCGAAGAAGGUGGAGGGUUGGGAGCUGUGAGGAGGACAGAGAAACCACUUCUGGCAGCCUAUCCCCACACUCACAAUAUGUUGUCCUGUAAGACAAAAUAAUCAAGCGAAAUGAGGUCGAUAUGAGGUCAGAGGUAGUGGAGGUGGGUAGUGGAGGUGCAGUGUUCAGUAGCUCAUUCUAUUAUUUCUUUUAGGAUCCUCUGAGUGCUUCGAAUAUUUUUCUAAUACAUAAGUACAUGAGCAGGAAAAGGAAGGGAUGAGCCUGCUUGGACUCCAUAUCAUUUCUCUGCACAGUGCCCCUCCCCAAGAGGGUGUGGCUAUCUGUGAUUGACCUUGUCACUCUCCAGCUCUCCCCUCCCUCCUCACUUGCUUGGGCUCGAUUUGCCUGUUAGUCUCUCCUCCAUCCCUGGCUGGCCCCACCCAUUCUUCCUGCCUGGGGACCGUGGUGGGACAUACCCCUGUGUCACAUGCCCUACAAUUGGAUACUGGGUCACUAACCAGGCCUACUCAGCCUUUCCCCAGGCGGUAGAUCAGGCUGUUCUGGUCCCAGCUCUUCGCCUCUUUCCCAGUACAAGGCAGAAACAGCCUUGUGAAGCCCUCCUCCCUUCCUAGUGUCUGGAGCUGGGGUUGGGGUAUUGGGAUCCUCUCACAUAGAGACCCAUGCUUUGUGGGUCCCACCACAUGCAGGAGAGGGGAACUUCUGUCAGGGUGGAUUGGAAGGAGGGGGUGGAAAACAGGCGUGUACCACCCACAGAAAAGUCCCAGGUCUGUCUUCUCAGCCUCUCAGAAGUCACAGGGCUGGCCUGGUUGGACUUGAGGAAGGACUGGAUAGCAGGGCUAACCCUUUACAUCCCCAUAACUCAGCUAUGGGCAGUAGGAACAGUUCCCUUGGAGUUGAGCUGUGCUGUUCCCCACUCUUCAUUGGGGAUGCAGAGCCCAGUGGCUGGUCUCCUGCUGGGAGUCUUUCUUUGGGCUUGGGAGCCAAGCCCUGCCACCCUUGUGUCUCCCAAGACCUCCAAACAGAUUGGUCCUUAGUGAGGCUUUGUGGAGCUGUUCUGCCUAGUGAGAGUCCUGGGACAUAACGUUCACCC
rnacentral:lncRNA from 1 species